rnacentral:rRNA from 1 species
ACUCAAAUGAAUAGACGGGGACCCGCACAAGCGGUGGAGCAUGUGCUUUAAUUCGAUGCAACGCGAAGAACCUUACCUGGUCUUGACAUAGUUUUGACCGUCCUAGAGAUAGGAUUUUCAGCAAUGACAAAACAUACAGAUGCUGCAUGGUUGUCGUCAGCUCGUGUCGUGAGAUGUUGGGUUAAGUCCCGCAACGAGCGCAACCCUUGCCGAUAGUUACCAUCAUUAAGUUGGGGACUCUAUUGGGACUGCCUUCGCAAGGAGGAGGAAGGUGGGGAUGACGUCAAAUCAUCAUGGCUCUUACGACCAGGGCUAGACACGUGCUACAAUGGUUACUACAAAGGGUUGCUACACAGUAAUGUGAUGCUAAUCUCAAAAAAGUAAUCUCAGUUCGGAUUGAGGUCUGCAACUCGACCUCAUGAAGUUGGAAUCGCUAGUAAUCGUGGGUCAGCAUACCACGGUGAAUACGUUCCCGGGUCUUGCACACACCGCCCGU